rnacentral:rRNA from 1 species
UUUAUUGGAGAGUUUGAUCCUGGCUCAGGACGAACGCUGGCGGCGUGCCUAAUACAUGCAAGUCGAGCGAACAAAGAGGAGCUUGCUCCUCGAUGUUAGCGGCGGACGGGUGA